rnacentral:lncRNA from 1 species
CACAGUUAUUAAUAAUACCCAGCCUACAUGAUAAAUUUUCCAGUCGUACUGUAGAAAGAGGUUCCAAGGGAUUAGGCUCCACAGGUGUAGAUUGGGCUAUGCUUUCUUUAAAUUUAGAUUCUUGCCCCAUGCUAAAACUAAAUAUUCAAGGACAUGAAUUUAAUGGGCUACUGGAUACAGGUGCAGACCUUAGCAUCAUAUCUCGUCAAGAAUGGCCAAAACAUUGGCCAUUACAACAAGCCACUCAAACGCUUUGAGGCCUAGUAGUGGCAACUAAUCCCCAUAGAAGUGUGAUGGUAUUAGAUUGGAAGGAUCCUGAAGGAUAUGAAGGAACUAUACAGCCAUGUGUAUUGGAUCAUCUUCCUAUAAAUUUAUGGGGACGAGAUGUCCUAGAUCAAUUAGGACUAACAUUAAC